GCCCACGUGGCGGAAUAGGUAGACGCGCAGGACUUAAAAUCCUGUGGAUGUUGAAUCCAUACCGGUUCGAUUCCGGUCGUGGGCACCA
rnacentral:tRNA from 1 species